UCGGUAACGAGGGGUCCGGAGGAAGCCGAUAGCAAAACACUGGCCUGAUGAACAAGAAGCAGAUAGUAGGCUUAUUCAGUGGGUGAGAGGUCGUACUUAUUCGAAGCCCUAAUACACGUACGGAACUGAAUCAGUAUAUCUGACAGGUAAAGUGUGAAAGCA
rnacentral:ncRNA from 1 species